rnacentral:snRNA from 1 species
AAACUCACUUCAACAUCAUGUACACUAAAACUAGAGCAAUACAGAAAAGAUUAGCAGGGUGCCUGGGUGAGGAUGACACACAAAUUCGUGAAAUAUUCUGUAUUUUU